GCUCUCGUAGUGUAGUGGUUAUCACGUCUGCUUUACACGCAGAAGGUCCCAGGUUCGAGCCCUAGCGGGAGCA
rnacentral:tRNA from 1 species